UUGAUCCUGGCUCAGGAUGAACGCUAGCGGCAGGCUUAACACAUGCAAGUCGAGGGGUAUUUAUCUUCGGAUAGAGAGACCGGCGCACGGGUGCGUAACGCGUAUGCAAUCUACCUUUUACAGAGGGAUAGCCCAGAGAAAUUUGGAUUAAUACCUCAUAGUAUUACGACCUGGCAUCAGGAUGUAAUUAAAGUCACAACGGUAAAAGAUGAGCAUGCGUCCCAUUAGCUAGUUGGUAAGGUAACGGCUUACCAAGGCUACGAUGGGUAGGGGUCCUGAGAGGGAGAUCCCCCACACUGGUACUGAGACACGGACCAGACUCCUACGGGAGGCAGCAGUGAGGAAUAUUGGACAAUGGGCGCAAGCCUGAUCCAGCCAUGCCGCGUGCAGGAUGACGGUCCUAUGGAUUGUAAACUGCUUUUAUACGAGAAGAAACACUGCUUCGUGAAGCAGCUUGACGGUAUCGUAAGAAUAAGGAUCG
rnacentral:rRNA from 1 species